rnacentral:piRNA from 1 species
UGUAAUGAGGUCUGACGC